rnacentral:sRNA from 1 species
GUGUGCAACAGGAAUCUUCUUAAAGUUAUAAGAUUCACAGACCCCUCCACAAGAUUAUAGAAGUAGUAGCAGUCACUGGUCCCAUCCUCUGGUGGGCUCUUUUGGCUGCCUGAAGGAUUUCUAGGAAGCUCCAGGGAUGCUGCUCUUCUCAGGAGUCCUUCUCUGUGCUGGGGUGGGCAUCUUAAGAUUCAGCUGCCUUUGAAUCACCCACAUUUGGAGCUGUUGCUGGUGUUAUUAAAAUUUGAGAGGAAAACAAAUGCAGCUCAGUCCCCUGGUAUGUUGCUGGGAUAUAACCUGGCAGGAAGGAGAUUAUAUCAGCAUACAGAUCUAGACUACAGUCCACCAUUGUGGAGAAGUCAAGGCAGAAACAUCAAACGGAUUUCUGCAUGAGGCCAUAAGUUCUACUAGAGAAGAAAAGCUUUCCGUGAAGCCCAGUGAUCUCCGUCCUGCAGCAGGGCUUUGGAAAUGUCGCAUACAAUUUUCACAAAAACUAUACCUCAUCCAGAGUGGCAUAGCUCUUAGGAAGCCAUGAGUCCUUUUCAUCGGCUGCUUUGUGAAGAACUCAUCCAUUACAGUCAUAGCCAAGAAGGGAAGUCUAGUGCCACCUACUGCAAGCAAGACAAACUGUAUUCUUUAUAUAAGAAGCCUUGACCCGUGUUUCUGACUCCACACCGAAUACCUAAGAAGAAGGAAAGAAAGAAGAAAAGGCCCUUUCCUCCUGACAGGUUUAGUUCCAGGCCCCAAAGAGCACCCUAUAUAGAAAUCAGCAUGCUCCUGCAUCAAGCUCGCAGCUAGGCAGCUGCUGAGAGGGGGCCUGUUGCUCUGGCAGACAAAGGCAGAGGAGAAACAAAUGCUGGUAUGCCUUGCCUCAGAAGCUCCUGCUAGGACCACACUGCUUCUCAGCUGACACACCUGUACAGCAUGCACAGAAUCCCAGGCAAAGUAAACAAAUGAUCAUGAAAGGCACCACUAAGUCAAGACAGACCAGAUGUUGGCAUUGUUUUUAGAUAACCCUAAAGAUUCUAGCAUUAAUAAGUCACACCACCCAGAUAACAUAGCUUUCAUUGUUUUUUGGUUUUGUUUUGUUUUGUUUUCCUUUCUUUUUAUGAAGACAGAUUAAAGGAAGAGAAGUCAACUACAGGAAACGUCAUCAUGAAUUAUGAAGCCUGAAGGCUCUGAUUCAAAGGAAAAUGCCCUUUCACAGUUGACCAGAACCUGCAGGAACACAUGCUCUCUGUCUGCCUUCUGUAUCUGCAAUGGAAGAGGUGGAUUCCACAGCAGGUGAAACACAGCAUUUAUAUUGCCUAUUACAGAGUGUCUUAGUUAGGCCUUCUAUUGCUGUGAAGGGAAGGGAAGGGUUUAUUUGACUCACACUUCCUCAGCACUAUUCGUCAGUGAAGGAAGUCGGGACAGGGACUCAAACAGGGCAGGCUUUUGCAGGCAGUAGUGGAUGCAGAAUCCAUGAAGGAGUGCUGCUUACAGGCUUGCUUCCUCUGGCUCCCCGUGGCUUCCUCAGCCUGUGCUUUUAUAGAAUUUAGGACCACGAAUUCAGAGAUGGCCCUACGCACAAUGGUCUGGGCCCUCCUCCAUC